rnacentral:rRNA from 1 species
AGAGUUUGAUCCUGGCUCAGAAUCAACGCUGGCGGCGCGCCUAACACAUGCAAGUCGAACGAGAAAGCGGGAGCAAUCUCGCAAGUAAAGUGGCGUACGGGUGAGUAACACGUGGAUUAUCUGCCCUGGAGUGGGGAAUAACGCUGGGAAACCGGCGCUAAUACCGCAUAUUCCCGAGAGGGGAAAGCAGCAAUGCGCUCGAGGAGGAGUCCGCGGCCGAUUAGCUAGUUGGCAGGGUAAAAGCCUACCAAGGCUGUGAUCGGUAGCCGGCCUGAGAGGGCACACGGCCACACUGGCACUGAAACACGGGCCAGACUCCUACGGGAGGCAGCAGUGGGGAAUCUUGCACAAUGGGGGAAACCCUGAUGCAGCGACGCCGCGUGAGCGAUGAAGCCCUUCGGGGUGUAAAGCUCUUUCGGCAGGGAAGAUGAUGACGGUACCUGCAGAAGCAGCUGCGGCUAACUACGUGCCAGCAGCCGCGGUAAUACGUAGGCAGCAAGCGUUGUUCGGAGUUACUGGGCGUAAAGGGUGUGUAGGCGGCUCUCUAAGUUUGGUGUGAAAUCUCCCGGCUCAACCGGGAGGGUGCGCCGAAAACUGGAGGGCUAGAGUGCGGGAUGGGAGAGUAGAAUUCCUGGUGUAGCGGUGAAAUGCGUAGAUAUCAGGAGGAAUACCGGUGGUGUAGACGGCUCUCUGGACCGCAACUGACGCUGAAACACGAAAGCGUGGGUAGCAAACAGGAUUAGAUACCCUGGUAGUCCACGCCCUAAACGAUGCAUAUUUGGUGUAGGUCAUUCAGUUGAUCUGUGCCGGAGCUAACGCGUUAAAUAUGCCGCCUGGGGAGUACAGUCGCAAGGCUGAAACUCAAAGGAAUUGACGGGGGCCCGCACAAGCGGUGGAGCAUGUGGUCCAAUUCGACGCAACGCGAGAACCUUACCUGGGCUCGAACGGCUAGUCACGAUCGUGGAAACACGGUUACUCGCAAGGGGGUCUAGUCGAGGUGCUGCAUGG